rnacentral:rRNA from 1 species
AUUGAACGCUGGCGGCAUGCCUUACACAUGCAAGUCGAACGGCAGCGCGGACUUCGGUCUGGCGGCGAGUGGCGAACGGGUGAGUAAUACAUCGGAACGUACCCUGUUGUGGGGGAUAACUAGUCGAAAGAUUAGCUAAUACCGCAUACGACCUGAGGGUGAAAGUGGGGGACCGCAAGGCCUCACGCAGCAGGAGCGGCCGAUGUCUGAUUAGCUAGUUGGUGGGGUAAAGGCCCACCAAGGCGACGAUCAGUAGCUGGUCUGAGAGGACGAUCAGCCACACUGGGACUGAGACACGGCCCAGACUCCUACGGGAGGCAGCAGUGGGGAAUUUUGGACAAUGGGGGCAACCCUGAUCCAGCAUGCCGCGUGUGAAGAAGGCCUUCGGGUUGUAAAGCACUUUUGUCCGGAAAGAAAUCGCGCUGGUUAAUACCUGGCGUGGAUGACGGUACCGGAAGAAUAAGCACCGGCUAACUACGUGCCAGCAGCCGCAGUAA